GUUUUGGCCUUCAGCUCCUAGAAAUCCCAACAGCUGAUAAACUGGCUUGGGUUUCUGGGAGUAGUCAGUCAAAAAACCUGGGGACCCAUACGUUGCAAACUACUGAUAGUACUCAUAAAACUAGGCACAAUAUCAAAUGUUUCCUUCUCAAAUACUGCAUUAAUUCUACAGUGUACUGUAGAUGCAUCCUCACAUGUGUGCCUCAUUCUACUUAAUGAGAGAGGCAGCUCUACUGCUCUUGGACGAUAUCAUGGGCUUAAGCAAUUCAUGGGUGUAGGUAUGUAGUAUGGCUGGAAUGGGACUGGAAUCAAACACCCCUCCAUGGCUUUUAUGCUGGUGGCUGAUGAUGAGAGCUCCAUUAGGACUUCUUCCAGCAAGGUUCUUCUACAAAGCAUUCUCUUCAGUCUGGAAAUAUCUUCAGCCGCCACCACCCAGACAGCUGAGAACUGCAAAAGCUCUUGAACAUGAAGGGGUAGAGUGACUGCCAGAGUGACAGAGAUUCUUAGAGAAGCCAUAAAGACAGUGGCAUACUCUCUAACUUUUUACAGAUGAACCUAUGAAACAAGCAACACCAGAAUGUGGCCAAGAUGGCAAAAGUUAUUAAUAAAGAACAACUCACAAGGAUGAAAGGCUGCAGCAGUUUUCUUUUGUUUUAGCCUACUGGGAAAGGCAAAAUUCUUGCCCCUCCUCUCCUCCUC
rnacentral:lncRNA from 11 species